UCUUCCUUUUUCUUUUUCAGUGCUAGCUGUAGUUAAUGAGCAUCUUUGUGUAUACAACUUUUGCUACAGUUGAAUCCAUCUUCAAGCAGAAAUUCCCUGGAAUGAAAUCCUUUGGUCAAAGGGCAUGAACAGUUUUACCGCUCUAGCUGGACAGAAUUGCCGUGUUGCUUUCCUAAGGGGUCUUUCAAAUCACAAAGCCCCUGAGCUUACCAAUGUUCUAAUAACCUUGCCAACACCAAGUGUUAUUGGUUUAAACAUUCUAAGCUAAUUUAGUUGGUGUAAUGUGGUCCCUCAAGGGUAGUUGCAGGUGCAUUCACUUGACCUCUACGAAGGAUGAACAUUUCCCAUGAGUUUUCCACUUGUGUUUCAUCCUUGCCUUUGCUUCAGUUUCCUGUGAGACAAAUUGGAGUUUGACAUCCCUCCUCAAGAUGCCUCCUCCAAGACCAGAGUUCCCUGUGGCUGAGCUGUGUGUGCAGAGAGCACCUUUCUCUCUCCUUGGGAAGCCCUUUGAAUGUAGAAACUCUGCAUUCCUCAUUCCUGUGCCCUCCCUCUCCCCAGUGGCUAGGACUUAACACCAAAGGGUGCUCAGGAAACAAAUGGAAGCAGGGCACUAACCAACUCCAGGAGGACUGGGAGCAUGUUUCCCGCUGAAUCCCUGCCAUCUUGACCACUGCCUGGCAAGAGAAGACACUCUACCAACAUUUUUUUAGGUAAAUAAAAGAAUUCAUUUUUCAAGUCUUCAUCAAGAACCACUAUGUGUACAGUGCUAUGUUAAGUUCUGGUAAGUUUCAUGUUAAUCCGAGGCCCCAGCAUCUCCUCUUCCAAGGAGCAACCAACUCCAGAAUAAUAAUAAUUGUUCUUUUUUACAUUGCUUUUAUUUUUCUUUUUUCUCUCUCCAUUUCCACGGGUAUCAAUAGUCGUGGUUCUUAAACCACUUUUCCAGUUUCUCAAGCACUUUCAGCCCUAUGAUCACACAAGACCCUCACCAACAAGCCAGCAAGCCACGAGCUUGAGCUGGACUUACUAUCAUUAUCCCGAUUUUCCAAAUAAGGAAGCCAAGACUCAGAGAGGUAGAGAGGUUUGUCCAAGAUCACCCAGCCAGGGAGGGGCUUGAGCCCAGGGCAGUGUGCCUCAUACAGAAUGAGCCUGGCCCCAUGGACUGGAGGAUAUCAGUGAAGGAGCAUCUCAGGAAGCAGCCCCGAGGUUGUGUUAGGAAGCAUUUAUUGAGUGCCUACUGUGUGAAGUCAGCCUCUGUGCUGGGCAUGGCAUGCAACCCCGUGCACUGAGACAGAAAUGGGGAAUUGGGGCUCCAUGAUUUCAGCAACCUGCCUGGGCAGCAAGUCUGAAUGCCAGCUUCACUGACAGCUGUUUGAUUUGGUCAAGUGACACCUUGUCUUUGAGCUCUGGAGACACCUGUAGCGGCAUCUGCAUCCACCUCCCCUAACACCUGCCCACCCACUGAAUAAGUCAGUUUUCCAUGAGCCUCUGAGGUAUGGUGGCUCUCCUCAAUGUGCACCAAGUCCCUUAACCAUAGUUAAUCACAGAAUCUCACUUUAAAUAAACCUUAAGGGAGCCUAGCUUGUCCUCCCGGUGUCCUUGGUGCCCAGACUCAUGUGCCAUUAAGCCUGUGACAUUAAUGGAGAGUUACUCCAGCCUGUGGCAUGAGGCAAAGAGGCUCCUCCUAAGAUAAGAUGGGAAUCUGAGAGCCCAAAAGCUAUAUUUAAGGGAAUUUUAGAAGUGUUUGUUUUUAAAAUGUAAUGAAAUGGUUAUUAUCAACUUUUUUCCUUUCUCCUCCUGCCUUCUUCCCAAACAGGUGCAGUGAGAUUAGUGGUAAUUUAAAAAGCAGGAUUGCCUCUGUGUCAAUUUCCCGCUAAUGAGCAAAACUCGCCGUGUAAUUGCUAUGUAUUGAACGAAGCAACAAUACAUUUUCAGUGGCUGUUUAAUAUGCUGGGGCUUGGUUUAACAGAUGUUCUGAGACUCGCUUUCCAAGACGGAGGAGCCAAGCCCAGAAGAAGAAGGUGACAUUUCCCUUUCUUUUGCCUCUGUCCAGUGCUGCAUCCCUUGGAGGGCAUGAGGCAAGGCCACGUGAGACACAGUCGGUGCUAGAUUCCUGGAGGCAGAGCUGAGGGUAGGUCUUGAAACCAGCGAGGGUAGCAAGCAGAGGAAGAUGACGAUCCAUUCCUCUUCUGAUCUUCACUAUAAGGGGCACCAAGCCCUGGGUCAUGACAAGGUCUUAUAUUUAGCAUGGACUUGCAACCAGUAAGUGCUGUCCCUUGCUAGCUCUGUGACCCUCUCAUGUGACUUUAACCUCUCUUGAGUCUCAGCUUCACCAUCUUUCGAAUGGGGAUAACACGUAACAUAUCUCAUGAGGAUGAAAUGAUGAACGAACAGGGCCGUUCCCCUGCCUGGACACUCUUCUCUAGAGUGUCUGCAUGUCUCUCUCCCUCACUUGGGUGCAUGGACGCCUACUGUCCAUUGCCCUCCUCUGUCUGCCUCUGGCAAAUGCUUUGUGCUGGGGGUUGGUGGAUAUGAAGGUCAAAUGUCACCAUCUUCCUAGGCCUUUCCAGAAUGCCCUCUUGCCUGCUCUCUCCUUGACAUGCUCCACGUUUCUCCCAUAGCACCUGACACCCUCCAACACUCUGUGUUAACUCACAUAUUUUUGUUUGUUUGUUUCUCACCCUCUGUCUCUCCUUAUUAGAAGGUAAGCUCCACGAGGGCAAGGAUUUAUGGCCUUUUUCUUCCAUGGAUGACUCUGAAACGCCUAGAACAGUACCUGGCACACAGUAGGUGCUCCACUAAUGCUGAAUGAAUGAUGCAUGUGGAAGGCUGAGUCUGGUUCCCACAACACAGUAGUAGCUCAAUAAUGAUAGCAUAUAACAUUAUUAUUUAAUUAUUAUUAAAUUGCCUCAAGCAAUUUUGUGUCCACUGUCUGUCAGGACUGGAUGGGACCAGAUGCCAUUAACUACAUACUCAGUCCUCCCAACAACCAAGUAUAAGGCAGGUACUAUUAUCGUGCCCAUUUGACAGAGGCUCAGGAAUGACUGCCCACAUUCACACAGUUGACAAGGAAUAGGGGGCUGAUUCAGCAUCACACCUAGGCCUGAGUCCCAAGUCCUCUUUUCAGGACUUGGGUGCCUGAAUGUGGGACGUACCUGAUGAAUGGGACUCUCCUUCCAUCAAAGAGGAGGGGCUGUUUGGUUUGAGCCUUUGAAAAAAAGUCAAACACAAGAGGAGAGAGGGUAUAUGAGACAGAGGGAACAGCAUGAGCAAAGGUGUGGGGGUCUACCAGAUGUAUUUCUUGUGCAUCCUCUAUGUGCCCAGCCCAAGGCAAGAUGCAAUGGUGUGUGUGUGUGUGUGUGUGUGUGUGUGAGUGUGUGUGUGUGUGUGUGUGUGUCUGUAUGUGUGUAUGUGU
rnacentral:lncRNA from 1 species